CCAAAAUAUUCCCAAGCCCUGACUCUCUCACUCAGUCUCUCUUCCCUCUCGCUCAUCACGCCCGCUCUCUCCCGUAGCCUUCCUCCUCUUCGCUCAUCACGCUCGAACGCCAAAUCUUGAACUCCAAAGCGCCCCAAUCUCGAACCCCACUGUCGGUUGUCUCUCUCCCUCUCGUUCUAUAUGACGGGUAGCCACCACCCCCUUCGUCGUGCUCGUCUCUCUCCUUCAAAUGGUCAAGGAUCCAGCAGUGUAGCACAUGUAGCAGAAGUGUGAUAAUUACCCAGAUUGUCUGAACACCUGCAUAACAGCCGUAGUUUCCCUCAUAAGUUGAGUAACAGGGAUAGGUUCCUGUUAGUGUUGAGGUUAAUUCAAUCUUGAUUGGUGAACUCUGACUCAUUCUGCGACCACAACCCUGUACUAGUUAUCUAAAUCAAACAACAGUUAGUAUUUAAGAGAUGUCUGUUGGGCCACAAUAAGAAACAAACUCAAUCUUCUGUUGGAUUUCAUGGUUUCAAGCUUACUGAAUCUUGAUACUGGAGAAAUUUAUGCACAGAAACUUGCUAACUUUGUUUAAAAGCGACUGAAAUCAGAACGGGCUGCUUCUUCUACCUAUAUCUGUUGAUCCCAAAAAACAAGUCUACAUCUCUCUUUUACUAAAAAGUGUAUAGAUGUCGCGGUUGAUCACUCGUUGUCAGAGUGUGAUCGAGGCGGCUCCCUCAUUAUCAGCAUCUACUGCUCCAAGCGUGAGUGCUCCAUUGAUUGGGGAGCCUACACCCCUUACUGAGGCUACUCCUACGGCAUCCCAGGUGCCCGUCUCAUCGACAUCAUCAGUGUCGAUUCAGCCGCUCAGUGCACGGCGGCCUCAUCGGCGCCGCCGCGAGUCGGAGCCUUCUGAUCACACUUCCUUAGCAUCCAGAGUUGAGGAUGAGGCCUCCCAUCCAGCUAAAAAAACACUAGGGGGCCUAGUCGAAUGCUAAAGUCGGCUCAGAGCGUACGUAUGAUCGGCUCCAAGAUCAAGAUUCAGUAUGACUCGCGACAUUGUGGAGCGACUACCUCACAGCAGCAUAGUGGCGUCGCUAGUGGCUGUGGUGUUGUUAUUAAGCAAAAUUGUCCUAUGCAGUGGGACUCUUGGACAGAUAUUCCUCAGAGGACGAUGGAACUGGUGCUAGACUAGUUGUCGGUCGUUUUUUAUCUUAAGGACAUAUCCCCCGAGGCCAUGGCCUACUUAGAGGAGGGCUUAGCAACCCAGUACAAACAUUGGAAGAACUAUCUUCACACGCAUUUUUAGCGAUACGAUGAUCCGGAGGUUGCUCGCCUACAUGGUUGCCCAAUCGAGUUGAAGGACCGGCCAGAGGAUUGGGAGUGGCUCUGCAAACAUUUUACGGACCCAAAAUUUGUGAAGAAAUCUCUUGCUGGCAAGAAAGCUCGGGACUCAAAGACACUUCUUCACCAUUCUGGUUCGAAGCCCUUUUUGUAUAGGCUUGAGGCACGAUGUCAGGGGGGUUCUAAGUUCCCAGAGAUCAACACGUUCGAGGAAGUUUACGUUCGACCUGGAAAUGAGAUCUCUGAGCACCUUCAUGCUCUUAUGGUGGAAAAGCACGCUGCUGUUGUCCAAGAAGCAACAUCACAGUUUCCCCCGAAUACCCCGAUCGAGGACGUCACGGUACCCGAGGAUGUAGGUUUUCAGAUCGUGACUGAUGUGAUGGAGCAAAACUUCGGUCGUCGUCAUGGUAAGGUUGUUCAGUGCAUGGGGAAAGCGCGAGUUCGUGAGAUGGGUGCCUCUUCUUCCAACUCGAACAUAGCAGAGGUUGAUGCAUUAAAGGAGCAAGUGACAACCCUACAGGGUCAGCUUGAGAUCCAGGGCGAGCAGAUGAAAGAGCAGAUGAGGGUCCAGGCCGAGCAGAUGAAGGAGUAGAUGAGGGCCCAGGCCGAGCAAAUGAAGGAGCAUAUGAGAGACCUUGUACGAGCCAUACAGACGUUCGGCCUUCAAAUCUCGCUACCAGUACCUGAUCUUGCUACACCUUCGACUUUUGAGCCACGUCAACCUGUCGAUACCUAGUAGCCUGAUGUAUAGAAGACUACUUGUAGUUUUUUCUUUUUUAUUCGAACAUCUUGUAUGUACAUUUUCAUAUAUUUUAUAAUUAAAUACUUUUAUUUGCUUAA